UCCCUGGUGGUCCAGUGGUUAGGACUCCAUGCUUUUAAUACUGAGGGUACAGGUUUGAUACCUGGUUGGGGAA
rnacentral:tRNA from 1 species